rnacentral:rRNA from 1 species
GUAAGGAAUAUUGGUCAAUGGACGCAAGUCUGAACCAGCCAUGCCGCGUGAAGGAUGAAGGUCCUCUGGAUUGUAAACUUCUUUUAUAUGGGACGAAAACGGGAUUUUUAUCUCAAUUGACGGUACCAGAGGAAUAAGCACCGGCUAACUCCGUGCCAGCGGCCGCGGUAAUACGGAGGGUGCGAGCGUUAUCCGGAUUUACUGGGUUUAAAGGGUGCGUAGGUGGGCUUAUAAGUCAGUGGUGAAAUCUCCGAGCUUAACUUGGAAACUGCCGUUGAUACUAUAGGUCUUGAGUUAUCUGGAGGUAAGCGGAAUAUGUCAUGUAGCGGUGAAAUGCUUAGAUAUGACACAGAACACCAAUUGCGAAGGCAGCUUACUACAUAUAAAUUGACGCUGAGGCACGAAAGCGUGGGGAUCAAACA